rnacentral:rRNA from 1 species
UCGGCCAGCCACAGCUACAAGAAUACGCGGAGGAGGUGGCCCGGGUCGGCGUCGGCGCCGUCCGGUGCAGGCCACGGGCCCGCUUCCAAGUGUGUCUGCGCGCCGGCCACCCAUGCUGGGUCCUUCAAGUGCCGCUUCCAUCGCAGCAACUCCCAGGGCCACGGCCACGACCAGGGCCAGGGAAGCUGCCCUUCUUCGCCCCCUUCACCGGCCUCGGCCAACGCGGUGCCGCGGCACCCGGCCUCGCCGUCCUCGUCCUCCGGCACCGUCGCGACCCAGUGA